GACCUGGUGGUGUAGUGGCAACGCACCUGCUGUAUGUACCCGGGUAAGAGGUAUGUGUAAGCAAGGGUCCCCCGUUCAAUCCGGGGUCAGGUCA